rnacentral:rRNA from 1 species
UUGGAGGGCAAGUCUGGUGCCAGCAGCCGCGGUAAUUCCAGCUCCAAUAGCGUAUAUUAAAGUUGCUGCAGUUAAAAAGUUCGUAGUUGAAUUUCGGGACUAUCAUGUCGGUCGUGCCUCGGUACGUACUGGUAUUGUUGGUUUCUCCCUUCUGACGAACCAUGAUGUCAUUUAUUUGGUGUUGUGGGGAAUCAGGACUGUUACUUUGAAAAAAUUAGAGUGUUUAAAGCAGGCUCACGCUUGAAUACAUUAGCAUGGAAUAAUGAAAUAGGACGUUUGAUUCUAUUUUGCUGGUUUCUAGGAUCGACGUAAUGAUUAAUAGGGAUAGUUGGGGGCAUUAGUAUUCAAUUGUCAGAGGUGAAAUUCUUGGAUUUAUUGAAGACUAACUACUGCGAAAGCAUUUGCCAAGGAUGUUUUCAUUAAUCAAGAACGAAAGUUAGGGGAUCGAAGACGAUCAGAUACCGUCGUAGUCUUAACCAUAAACUAUGCCGACUAGGGAUCGGAUGAUGUUAAUUUUUUAAUGACUCAUUCGGCGCCUUACGGGAAAC